rnacentral:rRNA from 1 species
CCUACGGGUGGCAGCAGUGAGGAAUAUUGGUCAAUGGACGAGAGUCUGAACCAGCCAAGUAGCGUGAAGGAUGACUGCCCUAUGGGUUGUAAACUUCUUUUAUAUGGGAAUAAAACGUUCCACGUGUGGGAGUUUGUAUGUACCAUAUGAAUAAGGAUCGGCUAACUACGUGCCAGCAGCCGCGGUAAUACGUAGGGGGCAAGCGUUGUUCGGAAUGACUGGGCGUAAAGGGUGUGUAGGUGGUUUGAUAAGUUAGAUGUGUAAUACCCAGGGCUUAACUCGGGUGCUGCAACUAAAACUGUUAGACUUGAGUACUGGAGAGGAUAGUGGAAUUCCUAGUGUAGCGGUGGAAUGCGUAGAUAUUAGGAGGAACAUCAGUGGCGAAGGCGACUAUCUGGACAGCAACUGACACUGAGGCACGAAAGCGUGGGGAGCAAACAGGAUUAGAUACCCCAGUAGUC